GGCGGGUCGGCCCUCGCGCCCUGAGGCGCCGGCGGCGGAGGGUUUUGGCCACUUUCCCGGGGCCCGGCGGGAGGAAGACUGCGGAGGAAGGCCCCGUGGCGGUCUGCGUGCGAGUGCGGCCGCUCAGCAGCAGGCACUCAAGACUGCAUCCAUUCAUUCGUUCUACAAAUACUUGUGGAUCUGCAUGUAUAUAUUUUAGUACACCAUUACAGCACUGAACAGACGCUGCCAUAAUUGCCCUGUGGAUCUUCCAUACUACUGGAGAGAGAGACAGAACAUAAAGUUAAAAAUGUGGAGUGUUAAGUGGUGAUAUAGAAGAACUUGGAGAAACUGCCCAAGCUUACUGGAAAAUUGACAAUAAUGCCACGUAUCAAGUUGAUGGAAGUAAAUCCUUCAAUUUUGAUCGUGUCUUUCAUAGUAAUGAAACUACUAAAAAUGUGUAUGAAGAAAUAGCAGCACCAAUCAUCGAUUCUGCCAUACAAGGCUACAAUGGUGUCUUACAUGGAGACAUACAAUGAAACCAUUACAGAUUUAUUCUGUGGCACUCAAAAAAUGAAACCUUUAAUAAUUCGAGAAGAUGUCAAUAGGAAUGUGUAUGUUGCUGAUCUCACAGAAGAAGUGGUUUAUACAUCAGAAAUGGCUUUGAAAUGGAUCACAAAUGGAGAAAGGAACAGCCAUUAUGGAAAAACAAAAAUGAAUCAGAGAAGAAGUUGUUCUCAUACAAUUUUUAAGAUGAUUUUUGAAAGCAGAGAGAAGGAUGAGCCUUCUAAUUGUGAAGGGUCUGUGAAGGUGUCCCAUUUGAUUUAUUUCAUCUGUCUUACAAGAAUUUGGUUGACCUGGCAGGCAGUGAAAGAGCUGCUCAAACGGGAGCUGAAGUAUUUUUUGCAUAAGCAAUGAAUUGGAAAUCUACAUGUCCCUUAACAGGGGGCAAGGUAAAUAAAUUUUGGUACAUUCAUACAAUGGAAUUAUGUGCUAUAAAAGAAUGAAAAAGACCAGUGUUUACUGAUGUGGAAAAUUUUCAAGAUAUGUUACCAAAUGAAGAAAAGCAAAGUACAAAGUAGUGUGUAUAGACUGUGAAUAUUUGUAUAAAUAAGGAAGGGAGGAAAUGAAUAUAUGGACUUGUGUUUCUAAAAAUGUCUGGAAGAAUAAACAUAAUGAUACCUGGUUUCUUGGUAGAGGGACAGGAACUGGUUGAAUGGGGGAUAAAAUUGGAAGGCAGCUUUUUCAGAGUGUGCUUAUUUUUUUCUUUAUGAGCCAUGUAAGCACAUUAACAAAAAGUAAGAAAUUAGAGACUAAUUUCAUUGUAAGUCCAUGGUUGCCCUUUUUUAGAGGUUAAAAAAAUAGAUCUGAAGUAUUAGAGGAGCUCUUUUAGGAAACAGGCUUUUUAUCCCUCAUUCUUUUCUCCCUUUUCAUCUUUUUCUUUUUACUAUUUCUCUCAGGUGAUAACAUUUUUGAUUCACUUAAUAGCUGAUAGCAAUAGGAAGAGAGCUCCUUCUACCAGAGAGAUGUUAAAGGUGGACUUGGGUCUGAUACUAAGCAUAAACUUUAGCAUCUGAUCCUUUAAUUUCUAGUUUAUUUUAUACACUACUGAUAAAUAAGUUUAUCAUCUAGAAAAGGAGACAAGUUUAGUUUUCAUAUUUGCGUAACAAAUUCAGGUGUACGACUCAAGGGAGGCUGUAAUAUAAAUCGAAGCUUAUUUAUUUUGGGACAGGUGAUCAAGAAAGUUAGUGAUGGACAAAUUGGAUAACUUUAUCCCAUUGCACACUUUCCAAAUCAUGCUUGUGUUUUUCAGUAUAUUGAAAAUUAUAGUAUUUUGGUGACUCAAAUAAGUGUACUGAUUAUUCUAUAUAUUUAAAAGUUUUUGUGAUUCUUUCUAUUUUAAAUAUUUACAAGUUGUUAGUUUUAAUCUGCCUCAUAUAGCUUGUAAAGAAUUAAUUUUUAAAACUGUGGCUGAUUUAAGUGUUCUACGUUAAAAACCAUCUUCUUUUGUUAUAUAAAAAUUUUUUCUUUCUUUU